rnacentral:tRNA from 1 species
UAGCUCAGUCAGUAGAGCAUGAGACUCUCAAUCUCAGGGUCAUGAGUUCAGGCCCCUCAU